AGAGUUUGAUCCUGGCUCAGAAUGAACGUUGGCGGCGUGGAUUAGGCAUGCAAGUCGUACGGGCCGCAAGGCCAGUGGCGCAAGGGUGAGUAAGGCGACGGUAACCAACCCCAUGAAUGGGCAUAGCCGCGGGAAACUGCGGGUAAUUCCCAGCGAUGUCUUCGAGGGGCAUCCCUUGAAGACCAAAGCUCCGGCGUCGUGGGACGGGCCGUUGUGGUAUUAGCUAGUUGGCGGGGUGACGGCCCACCAAGGCUACGAUGCCUACCGGGCGUGCGAGCGUGGCCCGGCACACUGGGACUGAGACACUGCCCAGACUCCUACGGGAGGCUGCAGUCGAGAAUCUUCGGCAAUGGGCGCAAGCCUGACCGAGCGACGCCGCGUGGAGGACGAAGGCCUUCGGGUUGUAAACUCCUGUCGAGGGGGAAGAAGGGGUAAAACCUUGACUGAUCCCUGGAGGAAGCACGGGCUAAGUUCGUGCCAGCAGCCGCGGUAAGACGAACCGUGCGAACGUUAUUCGGAAUCACUGGGCUUAAAGCGCGUGUAGGCGGGAGGGCACGUCGGUCGCUGAAAUCCCCCGGCUCAACCGGGGAACGGGCGCCGAUACGACCUUCCUGGAGGAACGUAGGGGGACCUGGAACUUCCGGUGGAGCGGUGAAAUGCGUUGAGAUCGGAAGGAACGCCCGUGGCGAAAGCGAGGUCCUGGACGUUUACUGACGCUGAGACGCGAAAGCCAGGGGAGCAAACGGGAUUAGAUACCCCAGUAGUCC
rnacentral:rRNA from 1 species